UGGCCAUCACUGAUGGUGAAGUAGUAAUCAGAGCUCUCUCCUGCAACUUUUACAAAGCUGAAAUUCUGAAAUGUCUGAGGUGAUACAUCCAGAAGAGAUAAGCAAGGAGUACAGAGGCAGCAGGAGGUUCUGUAGUCAAGGAAGAGCACUUUCUAAACAUGAAGGUAUCCUGGAAAAGACAGAGACCAUGCUCUGCAAUGAGAGCAAACAGAGCAGACCAUGUAGAAGAGCCUGAAUGUGAGCUACCCUUCCAUACUGAAGGCCUACGUAUACCUGACAUAGACUUGGAUCAGCUGUUUUCAGUCUAAGCUGAUAUGGUUUGUCUUUUUUCCACUUUAACUUCCUAUUGCUUAAAUGAAAGGUCUUUUUUUUUUUCUUUUUCUUUUUUUUUUUCUGGGGAUGACUGUGGAACUGUCUCUAAAAACCUGUAUUUUUUCAGCUCUAUUUCUAUAGGGAGUGCAAAGAGAAGCUUAACUGAUUCAUGUAAAGACUAGGAGUAAUAAACUCU
rnacentral:lncRNA from 7 species